GGGAAGAUGGCUCAGUGGUAGAGUGCUUGCUUUGUAGGCAUGAGGCCCGGGGUUCAAUUUCUCAGCUCCACA
rfam:Dipodomys ordii contig_51945, whole genome shotgun sequence.